GGUGCAGGAUGAGCCCGCGGCCUAUCAGCUUGUUGGUGAGGUAAUGGCUCACCAAGGCGACGACGGGUAGCCGGCCUGAGAGGGCGACCGGCCACACUGGGACUGAGACACGGCCCAGACUCCUACGGGAGGCAGCAGUGGGGAAUAUUGCACAAUGGGCGAAAGCCUGAUGCAGCGACGCCGCGUGAGGGAUGACGGCCUUCGGGUUGUAAACCUCUUUCAGCAGGGAAGAAGCGAAAGUGACGGUACCUGCAGAAGAAGCGCCGGCUAACUACGUGCCAGCAGCCGCGGUAAUACGUAGGGCGCAAGCGUUGUCCGGAAUUAUUGGGCGUAAAGAGCUCGUAGGCGGCUUGUCACGUCGGUUGUGAAAGCCCGGGGCUUAACCCCGGGUCUGCAGUCGAUACGGGCAGGCUAGAGUUCGGUAGGGGAGAUCGGAAUUCCUGGUGUAGCGGUGAAAUGCGCAGAUAUCAGGAGGAACACCGGUGGCGAAGGCGGAUCUCUGGGCCGAUACUGACGCUGAGGAGCGAAAGCGUGGGGAGCGAACAGGAUUAGAUACCCUGGUAGUCCACGCCGUAAACGGUGGGCACUAGGUGUGGGCAACAUUCCACGUUGUCCGUGCCGCAGC
rnacentral:rRNA from 1 species